rnacentral:rRNA from 1 species
UCGAGGGGCAGCGGGGCGGCAGGCUUGCCUGCCGCCGCCGGCGACCGGCGCACGGGUGAGUAACACGUAUGCAACCUGCCCGUGGCAGGGGGAUAAGCGGGGGAAACCCCGUCUAAUACCGCGUAACGCGGCCUAGGGACAUCCCAAGGCCGCCAAAGGGAGCAAUCCCGGCCACGGAUGGGCAUGCGGCGCAUUAGCUAGUCGGCGGGGUAACGGCCCACCGAGGCGACGAUGCGUAGGGGUUCUGAGAGGAAGGCCCCCCACACUGGUACUGAGACACGGACCAGACUCCUACGGGAGGCAGCAGUGAGGAAUAUUGGUCAAUGGGCGCGAGCCUGAACCAGCCAAGUCGCGUGAGGGAGGACGGCCCUACGGGUUGUAAACCUCUUUUGCCGGGGAGCAACGGGCGCCACGUGUGGCGCCACUGAGAGUACCCGGAGAAAAAGCAUCGGCUAACUCCGUGCCAGCAGCCGCGGUAAUACGGAGGAUGCGAGCGUUAUCCGGAUUUAUUGGGUUUAAAGGGUGCGUAGGCGGAUCGUUAAGUCAGUGGUCAAAUUGAGGGGCUCAACCCCUUCCCGCCAUUGAAACUGGCGAUCUUGAGUGGAAGAGAAGUAUGCGGAAUGCGUGGUGUAGCGGUGAAAUGCAUAGAUAUCACGCAGAACCCCGAUUGCGAAGGCAGCAUGCCGGCUUCCUACUGACGCUGAAGCACGAAAGCGUGGGGAUCGAACAGGAUUAGAUACCCUGGUAGUC